rnacentral:rRNA from 1 species
ACGUAGGGGGCGAGCGUUAUUCGGAAUUACUGGGUGUAAAGGGCAUGUAGGCGGCCCUUCAAGUCGCGUGUCAAAGUCCAGUGCUCAACGCUGGGAGUGCGCGCGAUACUGACGGGCUUGAGGGUUGGAGAGGUGAGCGGAAUUCCCGGUGUAGUGGUAAAAUGCGUAGAGAUCGGGAGGAACACCAGAGGCGAAGGCGGCUCACUAGACAAUUUCUGACGCUAAGAUGCGAAAGCGUGGGGAGCAAACAG